rnacentral:rRNA from 1 species
CAGCAGCCGCGGUAAUACGAAGGGGGCUAGCGUUGCUCGGAAUGACUGGGCGUAAAGGGCGCGUAGGCGGCUUGCACAGUCAGAUGUGAAAUUCCUGGGCUCAACCUGGGGACUGCAUUUGAUACGUGUGGGCUUGAGUGGGGAAGAGGGUUGUGGAAUUUCCAGUGUAGAGGUGAAAUUCGUAGAUAUUGGAAAGAACACCGGUGGCGAAGGCGGCAACCUGGUCUUUAACUGACGCUGGGGCGCGAAAGCGUGGGGAGCAAACAGGAUUAGAUACCCCCGUAGUCCCUGUCUCUUAUAC